AGCGUGUUGGUACUGGUGCUCCUGUUUACUUGGCUGCUGUUCUCGAAUAUCUCGCUGCUGAGGUAUAUUUUAUUCAUCAAUUCAUUUAUUGAUUCCGAUCUCAUCUUUUAUUUAAUUGCCAUGAUUUAGGGAUUUUUGAAAUGGAACCCUAAUUUGAUGAAAUUGAAUUUUGUUUUAUGUUUAGGUGCUUGAGUUGGCUGGAAAUGCAGCACGUGACAACAAGAAGAAUAGAAUUAUUCCUAGGCAUGUUUUGUUGGCUGUGAGGAAUGAUGAAGAACUUGGAAAAUUGCUUUCUGGUGUCACCAUUGCACAUGGUGGUGUUCUUCCCAACAUCAACCCGAUACUAUUGCCUAAGAAGACUGAAAAAGCUGCAAAGGAGCCUAAAUCUCCAUCAAAGGCCGUUAAAUCUCCAAAGAAGGCAGCAUAGAUCUGUUAUCUGUCUUAGUUUAUUAUCGGUUAUGGUGAUUUUGUGCAUAUCUAAGAUUAGCUCUGUCUUAUGUAAUAGAAAAGUUCAAUGUUUUUGAAGCCUGUAUUUUGGAUAUCAUGUAUCUCCUUUAGGAGUCUUAACAUCUAUCAAUGAAAACAUUUGUAUCGGCACUUUUUCAUUGUGUUUGGUAAUUUUAAUUUCUGAUGCAUUUGUUCUUGUAUUUGCAAAUCCAUAUUUAAAAAGUCAUUAUAUUGGUCUUUUAUUAAUCAAUAAAUGUAAAUUGUUAUUUGUCUAAUUGUUUUAAUUUAUUUUUAGUGGUUAUCUAAUGUUCUCGUUUACGUGGAAUUCGGUUAAAGGGCUCUAUAAAAAUAGCUGUCUAAAAUGGUGUUUCUCGCGCUAUCAGUUUAAAACUGGGCGGGAACAUAGUUUUCGCGAUUUCAAACUGAGUGGGAGAGUCAGUCAUUAGUUUUCGAUGCAACUCUUGCAUACGAUGAUUAAUAAUAAUUGUUGUAAUAAGCGUUAUACAAAUAUUUGUUUGUGCUUUUAAAUAUAAUUUUAAUCAUGUAAUUUAUUCUUAAUAUUUGUUUUGGUUUUUUAUUAUUUUUUAUUUAUUAUGGUCUUUUAUUAUUUAUAAGUAAUAUCUUUUAAUUUUUUUUUUUCGCAAUUGUUUCAAAUGUCUAUAUCAUUGUUGUUAUCAAUAAUGAGCUAAAACCAUUUCGCCUAUCAAUAGCAACAACAAUUUUUUUAUUGGUACCACCACACACUGUUUCUUUGGUUGACUAUUGGAGCAACAUUACCUAUUGAGAAAUCCCUAACUUAACGUAUUAGUUAACUUUAAAAUGUAAUCGAUUUAAUCGUUAAAUAUCGGAGUUUUUUUUAAAGUUUUGUGUGCCAUUUUGAUGAAGUUGAUGUCAAAAUACAAUAAAUUAUAAUAAAUUUCAUUUAUUUUAAAAAAUUUACGUAUAUUUGAAAUCAUAUAAGAAUUUUUUUAAAUAUAAACCUUUUAUUAGAAAGAAUAGUAUACUUGAUAUAUGUUGACAAUUUUUAUGAGAUAUAUCAAUGACCGUAUAUUGUUAUAAUUUUUAUUGUGAUUGUAACAAAGUAAAAUACAUUAUUUGUAAAAGAUAAAAUAAUAAAAUAAAUCAAAAUAAAGAUAAAUGACCAAAAUGAAUACUAAAUAAAAGAUAAAUAAAUAGAAUUAAAUUUAAACAUUUUGUUUUGAAUUCAUUUUAAUUUUUUAUAUUUAAUUUUGAUCUUUUAUCUUUUAUUUAAUAAUCGAUUAAAUUUUUUAUUUUUUGUAAAUUUAACAAGUUUAUUAUUUUAUGAAAAAAUAAAAUAGGUAUUACGUAAAAUAUAAGUAAUCAAAAUAAAUAUUAAAUAAAAGUUAAAUAAUUAAAAUUAUAUUUUAGGCUUAUUUUGUUCGAAAACUGAAGACACUUUUCUUUCGUGUCGAAAUCGAAUAUAUAUACAUGUAAAGCGGGAUUGAUAAGUUUUAAUAGUGACAUCGUUAACAUAAUCUCCUCAUGUUGCAUUACAAUACAGGGGUCCAAAUUCAAAUUAAAAAAAUUAUUAUAAUCAAUUAUUAAAAGACAUUGGAAUCUCCGAUGUUAUUUUAAGUUUUUGAUUAAUGUGUUUCUGUCCUCAAUUUCGUCUAGUCUAAGUUUUACUUGGCCAUGUAAUAACAAGAGAGUAUAUGCAAGAAAUAUAAAAAGAAAAGGGUAAAAUAAUUUUGCAAUCAUUUAAGUUAUAUGAUAAUAAUAUAUUAGUUAUUUAUAUAUAUUUUUGAAACAAGUUAAUUUUUUAUUUUUCUUUCUGUGUAUAUCAAGUUUGUCUAUUAUGUUUGUACAUAUUUACUAAUGAUCAUAAUUUCAAACUAAUAAAAUGGAAAUACAAAUUCUCUAGUUUUCUUUAAUAUACUUAUGUAAUUCUUAAAGCAUUUAGUGUUUUUGAAAUUAAAGACAAAGCUCUCUCAAUCUAUGGCAUUAAUUCAUAUAUAAAUUUAUUUUGUUGUUCUUUAUAUGUUUGAUUAUAAAAUUUAUAGUACCAUUUUAAAAAAUUUAAUUGAAAAUGAUUGAAAUGUAAUUAAGACUAUAAAUAGUUCAACAUUGUUAUAUCUAUCAAAAUAAAAAAUUAAUUUGAUACAAAAAAUGUUAAAAAACCAAAUUAAUAUUUUCAUGUAUUUUAAAAGAUUGUCCAAUAAAUUUUGCCAAAGAAACAAAACUAAGCUUUAUACAUACUUUGAUAGCUUUAAUUUAUUUAAGUAGUGUUUGUGGGACUUUGGAGGAUAGCAUAGGGAAGGAUUUUGAGAUCAAUAAAGUGUAAAGAAGACAAAUAGUAUAAAUAAAGAGUAGUAAUCUCACUUAACAUAAAUAAUUUUUCUUUUAAUUGGUGUAAAAUUCUUCCAUGUGAAAUACUAAAAAAUGUAUUUGGGAAGAACUUUACUUUAUUUUUAAACUAAUUCUCAGUUAUUUCAUUAGUUUUGUAAUACAAUUAAACAAAGAAAAUAUUAUUCAUCAAUAUUCUUCCCCCUUUUCCUUCAAAAAUAAUUCCUUAAACAAAGUGAAUAUUAUAGGGAAAUCUUGAAAACGAUGAGAAUAUUAAUGAACUAAAUGUCAAAUUCUCAAUAGAUUAUGAUACCACUUCUUAACCCAUAAUAUUAAAAGAAUGCUUAUAUGCAUUACCUCUUUUAUAUAUAUUAAUUUUAGUCAAUGUAAGAAUAAUCUUUCACAAUUGAAUUUCAACAAUAUUUUUCUAAGGUAUGAGUCGCUCACAACACUAUACUUGAUCUACACUAGGAUGUUGCUCUCGCUCCUUCACCAAACUCAGAUAUCACUUGUAAAGGAGUUCGAGGAUGCUCAUAGUAUGAGUAACAUUGAACUAAUUAAACGUCGAGAAUCAUUAAAAAACUUUAAUAUUAGACCUUUACUAAAAUUUGUACGACCAUAAAUAUAGAGCCGCUAAAAUAUGCCAACUUUAAUGGACUGACUCAAAAUCCCAAGAAAAGAUAGACUUUGGGCCCUAAGGUUUUAAGUCCAAAUUUUAUUAGGACUUUUUAUCCCUACCCUAAAAACCUUGUACUUGUGGCAGACUAGUCUGAACAGACUUAGGACAUCAACAUACUCACAUGACAUGUAAAAAAUAAAAUAUAAACAUUAUUUUGAAAAAAUGUAUGUAAAAUAUUUUUAACAUUACUAAAACUAAAAUAGGUAAAAUGUUAAAAAAAAUUAUAUUAAAUUUAAAAGAAUGUUAUUUGUGUUUUAAAAAAUGCUAGAAUAUAUAAAAAUUUAAGUAGUUUAUUUAAAAAAAUUGCAACACUUAAUAUUAUAAAAUAUAAAUAAAAAAUUCUAAAAUAAUUAAGUGAUGAGCAAACUCGAAAGCCCAAAUUCGUUUAUGGUCGAACUCAUGCAGUAUUUUUAGAACUGUUUUUAAAAAUAGUUUUUUAACCUAAGCCUGUUAGAGCCGAUGCUAAAUGGAUCAGGUAGCAUAUUUUGAUAGCUCUAAAUAAAUAUAUAAGUCAUCUCUCUAAUAUAUCGAAUAUAUAUUGAGUUUCUAUUUGAUGUGGGACUAAACUAUCACCAUUGAAUUAUAAUUUCAUAAAUUUUUACAUAUGAAAAUGUGUUCCAUCGUUGACUACCAUUAAAAAAUCAUCGAAAUUUUAACAAGAAGUCGAUUAUACUCUUCCUAAGUAAUAUCUAAACAUGUUAUUUUCUUAAUAGAUAAGACGAUGACUCGAGUAGUGUCGAUUUACUACAAAAUACACAUUUGUUUUCUGUUAUUUUUAUCGAAACCAUAUCACUAUUUCAGUCUUGAAAAUAACGAAAACCAUUAACAUCUAUUUCUAAGAGACAACGUCUAUAAUCGUUGGAGUUUUAAACAUUUUUUAAGUACCACUAUUUUGUAUUAAUUAAUCGAUAAUCAAUUGAAAAUUAUGUUGCUAAUCAAUUCAUUUUAUCGAAAAAUUUAAACCAAAUCGUAAGUGAAUCGUUUUCCUAUUGUUUUGGGCCGAUAUUUGAAUUAAACUAAGAUGUCCAUGAUCUCUACGGUUUUCGCACGACGAUGCCAUGAUCCGUAUGGUUUCCGCGCGAUCAUUGUUUAUGUUUUGAUGUUGCUGCGGGGAAAAUGACUUCGAUUAAUUGUUAAAUUGAUACCGCCCCUCAAAGAAACGUUGUUGAUUUAUGUGAUUGUUGAUGACGUUGUUGAAUUAUAUUAUGGAUUUUAAUUAUGUUGUGUUGAUGAUGAUAAAUUGUUUAACAUGAUUAUGAUGUGUUUUUAAUAAGUAUCUUUGCUAUUUUGUAAGCUGUUAGGACAUAUUAGAUAGUGCUGUAAUUGAAGAAAACCCUUUGCCAAUUAAUAAUGUGAAUUGAAUUAGGAGACUGAUAUUCAAUUAGGUGAUACAAUUAAUCCAUUAGAAAAAAUACAUAAAAUUUUCAACUUUAGUUUUAAUCAAAUUGAUAGAUAGAUUAAUAUCAAUUAGUUGUUAACCAUGGGUUGAAAAAUUGACAAAGUUAAGUCUUAACCGAUUAGAACAUUUUAAUUAAAUUAAAUGACUAAUAAUUUAUCAUGUAAGGAUAUUAGUUGAAUAAGAAGGCUAAUAAUCGAUUAGCAGAUCAAAAUAAUCGAUAAGGUCAUUAAGAACGACUUAAUAAUGAUUAACUAGUAAUAAAGUAAUUAUUAAUAGAUAAUAAAUUAGUAGUUAAUGAAAUUAAAUAUUUGGGCUUGUUUGCUUAUGUUGUAACGUGCAAUGUCGCAAAUAUGAACUUUGCCACUUAUAACAAUGGCGUUGAUUAGUCAAAACAAAAUAUAAACAACAAUGUUGAAGGUGAUGAUUAAUAUAUUAUGAAUGAAUCAUUGACAAUCGAAUGUAUUUAGAGUACUAUUGGUAUUAAUGAUCUUACCUAAAUGUAAGACACUAUUUUUUAGGGUACUAUUGGCAUGAAUGAUCUUCAGAAAAUUAUUGAAUACUAUUUCAUCAUCACUAGACAUUUCAUUUCAUGGGGUAUUAUAGGUGAUUCUCUACUGGUAUCAACUCUGAAUAAAUCGGAUUUAUAUAUGUAGUAGUUGAUGAUAAGGGUAAAAAUAGGUCAUGGUGAUAGAUGAACUUUGCCACGUAUAACACUGACGUUGAUUAGUCAAAACAAAAUAUAAACAACAAUGUUGAAGGUGAUGAUUAAUAUAUUAUGAAUGAAUCAUUGACAAUCAAAUAUAUUUAGAGUACUAUUGGUAUUAAUGAUCUUACCUAAAUGUAAGACACCAUUUUUUAGGGUACUAUUGACAUGAAUGAUCUUUAGGAAAUUAUUGAAUACUAUUUCAUUAUCACUAGACACUUUAUUUCAUGAGGUAUUAUAGGUGAUUCUCUACUCGUAUCAACUAUGAAUAAAUCGGAUUUAUGUAUGUAGUAGUUGAUGAUAAGGGUAAAAAUAGGUCAUGCUGAUAGGUGGAUGUACCUGACAUAACAUACAAUAGAUUUAGACUAUUCUAUACUUUUUUUAAUAUAUGUCACACAAAGGUUUUAAAAAAAACCAACUUAGUUAAAAAAAAAACUAUAUUAAAUGCCAUUGUAAAUUCUUUUAAGCCUACCAGAAUGAAUUAUUUAAUUAAAUAUAAAUGAUUUUUGUUUUAAAUAUGUAUUUGAUCUUUGUAAAUUUAUAUAUUUUUUAAUUUAUUUUAGUCUCUAUAAGUUUUUUAGUUUGGAUUUAGUCAUAGUAGAAUUUGAGACGAUAGAUUUUGGACCUUAACGUCAAAUCAAUAUUAAAAAAAUGAAGAACUUAAAAAGUCUAGAAUUAAAAAAUGAUAUAUUUACAGGGACAAAAAAUAUAUUUAAAUAAUUUUUUUUAUUAUUAUUGUUAUUAUUUAUUAUUAUUAUUAUUAUUAUUAUUAUUAUUAUUAUUAUUAUAGCAUUUACUUUAAUUUAAACAAACUCAUCUAUAUCAAAGUUAGAUAUUAAAAUAAAAUGUAUUGUCAUGUAUUAUUAUAAAAUAUAAUUAUUAUAAAAUAAAAUGUAUUAUUAUAAAAUAUAAUUGAAAUAUGAUUUAAUAUAAGUUAGAUAUUAAAAUAAAAUUUAAUUAAGUGCAUUGUCAUGUUAACUUUUUCUUCUAGUUACAAAAACCUAUCAAUGAAUGAUGUAGAUUUUAAUAAAAUAAUAGUGAAGUAGACUUUUAAACAUGAUUUUAGAUCUUGUUAUGAUUUGAAAAAAGACCAAGUCCGAUCUUAACAGUGGACCUUUGACAAAUAACAUAUGAAAUUUAAAUCGAACAUUUUCAAUGUAGGUUAAACUUAGACCUUACAAAAAUUAACUUGAACUAACCUAUUUCCAUUCCAAGGUUGUGGUUAGGUUGCAUAUCUUAGACAUGAUCAUGCUUAUUAUGGUAUGUGAUAUGUUAUGUUUGUUUUCUGUUGGAUUUGAAUUUGCUUCUAUAAAUUAUCAUACUCUACAUAAUUUAUGUUUUUGAGUAUGAUGAUUUAUCUUUAUAAUAAUUAAUGAAUUAUAAUAUUGUGACAUUAAGAUUUUGAAAACAGGUAGACAAAUGCAUGUUAAUUAUUUAAAAAUUUAAAAUAAUUAAAAAUGUAAAAAUUUAUGCAAUUUCUCAUAUUAAUAAUAAAUUAAAUAAAAAUAAUAUAUAGAUGUGAUUUGAUUUAGUUCAUUUUCAAAAAUAUAAUCCAAAAAUUUCAUAUUAUCGAAUCAAUUAUCACGAAAACAUAUUUAAAAACAUUCCAUAAGGUACAAUGUUACCUUUCAAAUUGACAAAAUCCAGGAGUAUAUAUGUAUAUAAAACCAUGUUUACUUUGCCAUAAUAACUUUCCAAUUGCUGUAAAAAAAAAAAAACAAUAAUAGCUUUCCUCAUUUUAAAACGGAAAGAACCCAAAUAGAACAAGUUCGCGUGUCGUCAAUUAAAGUCAUUCAUUGGUCCAUUUCAAAACCAGCGGAUCGCCACACAAAUUAUCUACAACCGUUGAUAAUUCUCAAUCUAACGGCUUUACGUUUGCUCAAUCUAAGAAUCGACGGGGAUCGAGUUGUGUCCGUAAAGCUAUAUAACCUCGCCAACGAUUCAUUCCCAUUCACUUAACACAUUAUAACACCAUUCAGAAGUUUGCAUUUCCUGCAUCUCACAGUUUCCACAGCUAGAUUUUAGGGUUAAAACUUCUAAACACAAAAUGGAAGCUAGCACAAAAACAAAGAAAGGAGCCGGAGGAAGGAAGGGAGGAGGACCAAGGAAGAAGUCGGUAACAAGAUCUAUCAGAGCCGGUCUUCAAUUUCCCGUCGGUAGAAUCGGCCGUUACUUGAAGAAAGGUAGAUAUGCUCAGCGUG
rnacentral:lncRNA from 1 species